rnacentral:rRNA from 1 species
UACAGAGGUCUCAACCGUUGUUCGGAUUUAUUGGGCGUAAAGGGUGCGUAGGCGGCGGGGUAAGUCAGGUGUGAAAUCUCGGGGCUCAACCCCGAAACUGCACUUGAUACUGCCUUGCUCGAGUACUGGAGAGGAGACUGGAAUUUACGGUGUAGCAGUGAAAUGCGUAGAUAUCGUAAGGAAGACCAGUGGCGAAGGCGGGUCUCUGGACAGUUCCUGACGCUGAGGCACGAAGGCCAGGGGAGCAAACGGG